rnacentral:ncRNA from 1 species
UGGUUUAAAAUUUAAAUUUUAUUUUGGUUUACUUUUUUAUUAUUUAGUUUAAUAUCAUAUGUAAAAUUAACAAUAAAAAUGCUAAAAAUUUAAUAUUAUAUGGGCUUUUUAUAUUUUAAAAUUAAUUGUCAAUGUUAAACAUUAUAUAUAAAUAAAAGUUUUAUAUAGAAAUCUAAAAAUAAUUGGUUAAAUUUGUGCCAGCAUCCGCGGUUAGACUGUGAAAUUAAAAUAAAAAUAUAUUGGUUAAAUAGAGUUUAGUAAUGUAAAAGUAAAGAUAAAUAAUAUGAAAUUGUCAUAAAAAAGGUGAAAUUUAUUAUUGAAGAAAUUCAUUUUAUUGAAUUUAAAAUAAACCAAACUCAAAAAUCCUGGAGAUAAAGCAGGAUUAGAUACCCUGUUAUACCUUUAUUUGUUAAAAAUACCAAAUAAUUAAAUAGUUAUAUUCUUUAAAUUUAAAAAAUGUGGCGGUGUUUAAUCUUAUUAGAGGAACUUGUUUCUUAAAUCGACAAUCCACGAACAAUCUUAUCUUAUUUUGUAAUAAACCAGUUUGUAUAUCUUCAUUUAAAAAUAAUUCCCUAAGGUGUAAUUAUUAAAAUAAAAUAAUUUAAAACAUUAGAUCAACAUGCAGCUAAUAAUAAGAGGAAAAUGAGUUACAAUUAAUUAAAUUUAUUUGAUAAAGAACAAAUAUAAAAGGAUUUAUAAGUAAUAAGUUUUUAAUAAGAACUUAUGACAUAAAGUUCUAAAACAUGUACAUAUUGCCCGUCGUCCUCUUGUACAAAAGGGGUAAGUCGUAACAUAGUAGAAAUAUUGGAAAAUGUUUCUAGAAAUAAAU